rnacentral:tRNA from 1 species
GGCGCGUUGGCGAAGAGGAAACGCAGGUGUCUGCAAAACACCUACCGCGCCGGUUCGAUUCCGGCACGCGCCUCCC